UGACAUUGUUUCCUAGAGAUAAUUUAUAUUGAAAUCACUGAAUAGGUAAUUUCGAAAAGUGACAAUGGUAAGCGACGUUACUUCAUAAAUUCGUGACCGUGUUCCCUGGAAUGAUUUCCAGAAUAUGCAAAUUGACCAACCGAUUACCACAAAGUCUUCCGACAACGAGUGACGAUCGAAUCAUCCAUCCAUCCAUCCAUCCAUCCAUAUAUAUAUACAAAUCAGCAUGUCCUCAUGGACGCGGCAAUCCGGAAAAAAAAAACAUUAAAGAAAAAAAUAAAGCACAGUUUCACUAAGAUCAUCCGUUAUAAUCCUAUGUCCGAUACCUGAAACCUCUGGCAUGGAAAUCUGUGAGUUCUUCCUCUUCCUCCUCCCCCGAAGUUGGGUUAAUCUUAUUCGCCAUGCCGCUUUCAUUUUCCACCGCUGGCACACGCUCCUUCUCAUCGCGCUUCCGAUUAAGACAAUUUAGGUAAAACCUGAGCGCGAGUGCGCUUACCACUACUAGCGAGUAGCAAACGAGAAUAGCGCGGAAGGCCGUUGGGUAAUGGGGAGCCUCUGCUGAUAUGAAGAAUUGGGGACCCGCACUGGAGGAAUUUUGCUUAGCUAGUGAAAAGAGAAUUGGGAAAGGGAAAAGGGGGGGAACACCAAUGGACCGAAGCUGGGGGGAUGUCCAAUGGUAGUUGCUAAGUUCGCUUCUCUUGUCUGGGCUUAUAACAAACACGGAGGAGGCGCAAGACUCACAUAUUUCCAGCACAAUAGGCUACGAAUAAAAUAGCUGUCAUGGUCAUUUUCUUCGUUGAGCCCUUGUAGUUGACUGCUACCAGCGACAUGGCGAGAGGUAGUGCUGCUGGCCCUGGUGACAUGAGAUAGUAUCCAAAUAAUUUGACGCCCUUGCUGACGUUUGAGUAGAUAAUCGCACUCCCCGCGACUGGGAAUGCAACGAUUCCACAGAUAAGAUACGUCGCCACAUUGGGGUAUUUGCUACAGAACCAGCCGCUGUAUCCAGCAGGAUUAGACAGCGAUUUGCAAGGAAGGUUGGACAAGUGAGGAUAGGACAACAGGGAGACGGCUCAGCUUACGUUAUGAGAACUGUGGAAAUGCACAGGACAGAUGCUGGGGUGAUAAUUAGAGUGGUUUCCAGGGGCGAAAAGCCAAAGCCCUUGAGGACCAGGUUGCCAAAGUUUUGGGUUCCACCGUUGGGUAUCUGUCACGCCAAAGAUUAAUAUUUCUCGAUUUUUUCUUUGAGAAGGAUGGCCAUGCGGGUUUCUGAAGUUCACAUACUUGGGUCAAGACCGAAAUACUAAGAAAUAGGAAGGUUUUAGGAUCCAUGAGGCAUUCGAUCACUUGUUCCCGUUUCCACUCGUGUCGGAUCUUUCCCGUGCCGGCAAACUCCACACGAUGCUCCGCAUAGAUCUUUUCUCUUUCAUUCAGGAAAUCGCAUGUAGCGAUUGUGUCUGGGAGGAGGAAAAGCAAGAAAAACCCCCAAAGGAAGGUAGCCACGCCGAGAACCUGGAAAGUAACGCAGUCAAUGACAGAGGCCUCUUUAUAUGACCGAUGCCAAAAGCCACGAAGUUUGAUAGCAGUCCACCGAGGGAGUUCCCCGCAAACCAUACUCCACAGCGCGCAGGAAUCUCCUCACGCGUCCACCACAUCGACGUGACAAAGACGAAUGCCGGCGAAAUUGUUGCCUCUGCAACCCCCAGUAGGAAACGGACACCCAUUAAUCCGCCGAAGUUUGAGCAAGCCGCGGUCAACGCGACAACGGCGCCCCAGAAAAACGUAUUCGCAGAUACAUACUUGCCCACAGGUAACUGUUGGAUCAGGAUAGAUGUGGGAAAAGUCCAGAACAGGUAUCCGAAGUAAAACACGCUGGAAAUCCAGCUGUACUGGGACCCGACAAGAUGCUAUUCCGUCAGUUAGAAGAGAGUGAACCAACGUUCAGGGGUAGAUAGCGCGGGGUCUAUGGCGAUGCUCACAGUGUCUUCCCGAAGCCCAAAAACCGAUGCGCUAGAUAGAAUGACCUUGUCCAUAAAGUUGAAAUUGUACGUCACAAAUAGCAGUGGGAGAAUGCGCCGGUCGAUUUUGCGAACCACAUCCUCCGCGAGCUGCAUUUCGGAAACGUGUCUACCACCACCCCGCACUGCCCCUCGUUCUAGGAGUGAGGAGCUAUCCUUUGCCCAUGCCGUAGGAACUGAAUCGGCUCUGGCACUGGCCAUGUUUUGCUGAGAAGUGGUUUCAAGAGGAGCUCAGAACCUCAUUUCGUGGAAGGUGUAUCUUGACAGGAAGUAACAGCAUUUCGUGUGGGAAAAAGCAGAGCAGGAAGAAAGUUGCGCGCAGGACAGCCUUAAAAAAGCACCUAGAACAAAGAAUACAACAAACAAACACCGUUACACCUGAGAUGUGCGUGGUAUUUAGGGAAAACAAGGUCGAGCGUCUCUGCUGCAGGUAUCCACGGUUGUGAAAGGAGCGUCCCUUGCAAGCGCGGAUUUAUGUCAAGACUAAAGCCGGUGGAUCGCGGGUGCGGUCCGACGGUGGUGUUGGAGCAGCAGGCUCAGGUUGGUUGGGCGUCGUGUCUCAUGUCUGAUGGCGGGAUAUUGGGUGUCACAAACCGUGCAGAUCGUCUGCAUUGUGGAGGCCAAAUCUGCAGGCCUGGGUGCGGUUGAAAAGAUCCCGUCCGCCAGCCAUCGGGGACUUUGUGAAUCCGAACCAGGGGGUGUUGGAGACAAAAUCAGGAUCGCGGGGCGGGGUGCCACUUGCAAUAGUCAAAUGAUGUUUACAGCUUUAUAUAGCGAGGAAUCUGCUGCUAGCUACUGCAUGGCUCUGGUUAAGUUGUAUGUCUGGAUUACAUACGAAAUAUGAGCUAUUCUGAUGCAGUGAUACUCUUCACCCUUUGUUGGAAGCUCAAAUGGCAAACGUGAUGGUUGUCGAGCUUACUAGUCCAAGCGCUAACAUGCUGAUGGGCGUCUAUGGCGUAUUUAGUCAAAUAUUGAUGGUUAUGCUUCAAGCGCCACUGUCACAGGAGGUGCCGAAUGAGAGGAGAUCAGAUUCGCCAACAUAGGAGAUUUCCUGGAAUCGAUAUAAAAAUAUCUAGUUGGGGGCUGAAACUGGCCAACACAAACAAAAUGAUGUUUAAAACCUCUCACAAAGCCCUUGCUAUACUCCAGCGGCAUGCCAGUAUAUGCUUGUCUGUAUCUCUUUCUAAUUUUGAGAAAGAGAAAAUAAUGAACCCAAAUGAUGUCAGGAAAGAGAAUGGAAAUUAAAAUUGACAGCGGCCCUCUGGGUUAAGAAUAUGUACAAAAAAAACGUAGGAGGGCCUUGUUUUUGGAUCGUUUUGAUCAUUCGCCUCUCUAUGCUCUAUUUUUAUAACGAUCCGAGGUAAGCCAGCGAAGGAAAAAAUUAAAAUCCGGAACACCUGUCAAAUUAGUAUAAAAAUCAUGAGCGACCGCGUAAUAUCAUUAAAAGGCGUGGCAAGGAGAGAGCAACAAUGGAAGUGGAAGCGAUAUGGGAAAACAAGCCACCGAUGUUCUGUUAUAUAGAGGGAUGGGGAUGUAUAAAUAUACGACAGGAGAGGAGGGGGCUGGUGGCGAGGCAGAAUACCCAAACGACUCUCCGCGCGUCAAAAAUCCGCUGGAGUUCUUUUUAACUUUUGUAAGCAAGCCAAAAUAAAAUAUAAACUAAAAAUGGAAAGAUGAUAAUGACAUGGGUAAAAACCACCAAGCCUCAUAACAAAGUCUCUUCAUCAUCGGAUUUAUAGUGAUCGGCGCUGUCAUGAUCGACGAACCCAGCAGCCUCGAGUUUAUUGGCUUUGAUCCCGAAACUUAGCAGGAAACCGAGGAACGCAACACCACCGAAAACACCAAAGGCCAUUGCCUCGCCUUUGGGUUCGAUUCGUGUUGCGAGGGUGAAGAGACUACCUGAUAGAAAUGGGCCUACGGCCCGUCCUAAGGCAGAUAGAGUCUGGGCAAGCCCAUUUAGAGAGCCUAAGGCAUGAGUGUUCGU
rnacentral:sRNA from 2 species